GGAUUCCCCUAGUAACUGCGAGUGAAGCGGGAAAAGCUCAAAUUUGAAAUCUGGCAGUCUUUGGCUGUCCGAGUUGUAAUCUAGAGAAGUGUUACCCGCGCUGGACCGUGUACAAGUCUCCUGGAAUGGAGCGUCAUAGAGGGUGAGAAUCCCGUCUCUGACACGGACUCCCAGGGCUUUGUGGUAUGCUCUCAAAGAGUCGAGUUGUUUGGGAAUGCAGCUCAAAAUGGGUGGUAAAUUCCAUCUAAAGCUAAAUAUUGGCGAGAGACCGAUAGCGAACAAGUACCGUGAGGGAAAGAUGAAAAGAACUUUGGAAAGAGAGUUAAACAGUACGUGAAAUUGCUGAAAGGGAAACGCUUGAAGUCAGUCACAUUGACUAGGGAUCAGCCUUGCAUUGCAUGGUGUACUUUCUGGUUGAUGGGUCAGCAUCAAUUUUGACUGCUGGAAAAAAGGCUUGGGGGAAUGUGACAGCUCUGGCUGUGUUAUAGACCCUUGUCAUAUACAGCGGUUGGGAUUGAGGAACUCAGCACGCCGCAAGGCCGGGUUUCGACCACGUUCGUGCUUAGGAUGCUGGCAUAAUGGCUUUAAGCGACCCGUCUUGAAACACGGACCAAGGAGUCUAACAUGCCUGCGAGUGUUUGGGUGGAAAACCCAAGCGCGUAAUGAAAGUGAAAGUUGAGAUCCCUGUCGUGGGGAGCAUCGACGCCCGGACCAGAACUUUUGGGACGGAUCUGCGGUAGAGCAUGUAUGUUGGGACCCGAAAGAUGGUGAACUAUGCCUGAAUAGGGUGAAGCCAGAGGAAACUCUGGUGGAGGCUCGUAGCGAUUCUGACGUGCAAAUCGAUCGUCAAAUUUGGGUAUAGGGGCGAAAGACUAAUCGA
rnacentral:rRNA from 1 species